GUGGAAACACUCACCUAGAGCCUGACAUCCUGGAAUGUAAAGUCAAGUAGACCUAAGCUAGUGGAGGUGAUGGAAUUCCAGUUGAGCUGUUUUUAAUCCUAAAAGAUAGUGCUGUGAAAGUGCUGCACUCAAGAUGCCAGCAAAUUUGGAAAACUCAGCAGAGGCCACAGGACUGGAAAAGCACCAUGCGGCAUGCAGGAUCUUAGGUCCGAGCCCCUGCAAGUGGAAGUGUAAUCUUAGCCACUUGACCGCCAGGGAAUUCCCAAGGCAUGUGUGAACCUUUCCCAGAAAUGGUUAUUAAUUUCAAAGCAAAAGAAGUAACUUCACAGUGGAGAAGCCUGGCAGGCGCCUCCUUAAUCAAAUAAACUGGACAACAUGAGGAAC
ensembl:lncRNA